CGCCUAACCCUUAUAGCAAUAUAAGGUAUGGCCUUAAAUCCACAACGACAGAGAUGGUCUUCCGACCAGCACUUCGUCGUUGUGGUCUGUGUUCCGAAAGGACACAGGGUAGUUCCGAAAGGGGCUAUC
rnacentral:sRNA from 1 species